rnacentral:lncRNA from 1 species
CUAUAAGGACUAGGACACAGCUCCCCCAAGGCCUAUGCCAGUAUUAGUUCCUCGGAAAUAAUACUACCAUGAUUUCCUAUUUCCAGAAACCUCAGUGCUGCCACUAAAUGGUUACCUUCUUCAUAUACAUUCAUGUAUCUGAUUACUUCUUUGACAGAACCCUGGCGGGGGGAACCUUAUAUCAAUGAACAGGAAUUAUAAACAGGAAGAACUCAGCUUGAUAGAAUAAAGGAUUUCCUGUGUCUAAAGAUGGAACGGGCUUUGGGUGAGCAUCUGAACUCAUCACUGAAGGUGAUUUAAGCUUAAGAUGUGUGGAGUCUCAGGACAGAAGGGCCAUGGAAGUCUGGGGGCCAUUUGCGGAGGGUUGUAACCUGUAACCUGUAACCUGUAACCUGAAUUGACCUGCACUCCAGGGAUCAAGUUGUGUCUUUCCUUGUUUUUUUGUUUGUUUGUGUUUUUUUCCUAACGUACAGAGGCUUACAGUUUCAUACAUAUCAUUUUCUAAUAGUGAGGCUAUAAUCUAUCUCCCAUCAUUUCUACCUGGUGCACCCUAUUCUUCAGUCACAUGGAGAAGCUCACCAUUUCCCAAACCCGUGAGGCUUCAGUGUCUUUGCAAACACCAAGACCCCUGCCUAGCAAGUCUCUUUUCUCCAUUUACCCUCCCUUCAGUCCCUCUCUUCUUCCAGCCUGUGAAUUUCUUCAGCCUGAACAACUGUGAGC